ACCGUUACGACAGAAGCGUAUUGCGUUGAAUUGAGGGCUGUUUAACUCUUCAGCUGAACGUGAGUUUAGUGUACUGAGUUAAGUAGUUAUCCGUCGUGCCUUUUCUGUGGCUGAUAUUGAGCCGCGGGAGAGGGAGGGAUCCCCUUUAUGGGUGAGGACGAUGGAGUGGCAACGCGAUGCGACCCGUCUUGAAACACGGACCAAGGAGUCUAACAUGUUUGCGAGUUGAAGGGUAGUAAACCUGGAGGCGCAGUGAAAGCGAACUUCUAAAACGGACAGUUUGUGGCGGCAUAAAAUCGUUGAUUUUAGGUCUGACUAAGAGCAAAUAUGUUAGGACCCGAAAGAUGGUGAACUAUGCUUGAGUAGGCCGAAGGCAGAAGAAAUUCUGCUGGAGGGCCGAAGCGGUGCUGACGUGCAAAUCGCUCGUCGAACUCGAGUAUAGGGGCGAAAGACUAAUCGAACCAUCUAGUAGCUGGUUCCCUCCGAAGUUUCUCUCAGGAUAGCGGGCCGACAAUUAUUGUUUUGUGCGGUAAAGCGAAUGAUUAGCGCACUCGGGGGCAUUCAGUCUUCGGUCGAUUCUCAAACUUUUAAUGCGCAA
rnacentral:rRNA from 1 species